rnacentral:rRNA from 1 species
CUGCUAAACCGUAAGGUGAUGUAUAGGGGCUGACGCCUGCCCGGUGCUGGAAGGUUAAGAGGAGUGGUUAGCUUCUGCGAAGCUACGAAUCGAAGCCCCAGUAAACGGCGGCCGUAACUAUAACGGUCCUAAGGUAGCGAAAUUCCUUGUCGGGUAAGUUCCGACCCGCACGAAAGGCGUAACGAUUUGGGCACUGUCUCAACGAGAGACUCGGUGAAAUCAUAGUACCUGUGAAGAUGCAGGUUACCCGCGACAGGACGGAAAGACCCCGUGGAGCUUUACUGUAGCCUGAUAUUGAAAUUCGGCACAGCUUGUACAGGAUAGGUAGGAGCCUUUGAAACGUGAGCGCUAGCUUACGUGGAGGCGCUGGUGGGAUACUACCC